rnacentral:rRNA from 1 species
GAUUAACGCUGGCGGCGUGCCUAACACACGCAAGUCGAACGAGGUAGCAAUACCUAGUGGCAGACGGGUGAGUAACGCGUGGUCAACCUACCGUUGAGUGGGGGAUAACUAGCCGAAAGGUUAGCUAAUACCGCAUACGAGGUUGAGGGGCAUCCCCUGAUCUUAAAGGAGCAAUCCGCUCGAUGACGGGACCGCGUCCCAUUAGCUAGAUGGUGGGGUAAUGGCCUACCAUGGCNCCGAUGGGUAGCUGGUUUGAGAGAGCGACCAGCCACACUGGGACUGAGAAACGGCCCAGACUCCUACGGGAGGCAGCAGUGAGGAAUUUUCCGCAAUGGGCGAAAGCCUGACGGAGCGACGCCGCGUGUGGGAAGAAGGCCUUCGGGUCGUAACC